rnacentral:rRNA from 1 species
UGGGGAAUAUUGCACAAUGGGCGAAAGCCUGAUGCAGCAACGCCGCGUGAGGGACGACGGCCUUCGGGUUGUAAACCUCUUUUAGCAAGGAAGAAGCGAAAGUGACGGUACUUGCAGAAAAAGCGCCGGCUAACUACGUGCCAGCAGCCGCGGUAAUACGUAGGGCGCAAGCGUUAUCCGGAAUUAUUGGGCGUAAAGAGCUCGUAGGCGGUUUGUCGCGUCUGCUGCGAAAACCCGAGGCUCAACCUCGGGCCUGCAGUGGGUACGGGCAGACUAGAGUGCGGUAGGGGAGAUUGGAACUCCUGGUGUAGCGGUGGAAUGCGCAGAUAUCAGGAAGAACACCGAUGGCGAAGGCAGAUCUCUGGGCCGUAACUGACGCUGAGGAGCGAAAGGGUGGGGAGCAAACAGGCUUAGAUACCCUGGUAGUCCACCCCGUAAACGUUGGGAACUAGUUGUGGGGUCCAUUCCACGGAUUCCGUGACGCAGCUAACGCAUUAAGUUCCCCGCCUGGGGAGUACGGCCGCAAGGCUAAAACUUGAAAUGAAUUGACGGGGUCAUAGCUGUUUCCU